GACAGAGGGUGCAAGCGUUGUUCGGAAUCAUUGGGCGUAAAGCGCGCGUAGGCGGCUUGGUAAGUCGAAUGUGAAAGCCCUGGGCUCAACCCAGGACGUGCAUUCGAGACUGCCCGGCUUGAGUCCUGGAGAGGGUGGUGGAAUUCCCAGUGUAGAGGUGAAAUUCGUAGAUAUUGGGAGGAACACCAGUGGCGAAGGCGACCACCUGGACAGAGACUGACGCUGAGGUGCGAAAGCGUGGGGAGCGAACAGG
rnacentral:rRNA from 1 species